rnacentral:rRNA from 1 species
GACGAACGCUGGCGGCGUGCUUAACACAUGCAAGUCGAACGGAAAGGCCCUGCUUUUGUGGGGUGCUCGAGUGGCGAACGGGUGAGUAACACGUGAGUAACCUGCCCUUGACUUUGGGAUAACUUCAGGAAACUGGGGCUAAUACCGGAUAGGAGCUCCUGCUGCAUGGUGGGGGUUGGAAAGUUUCGGCGGUUGGGGAUGGACUCGCGGCUUAUCAGCUUGUUGGUGGGGUAGUGGCUUACCAAGGCUUUGACGGGUAGCCGGCCUGGGAGGGUGGACGGCCACCUUGGGCCUGAGGGACGGCCCAGACUCCUACGGGAGGCAGCAGUGGGGAAUAUUGCACAAUGGGCGGAAGCCUGAUGCAGCAACGCCGCGUGCGGGAUGACGGCCUUCGGGUUGUAAACCGCUUUCGCCUGUGACGAAGCGUGAGUGACGGUAAUGGGUAAAGAAGCACCGGCUAACUACGUG